AGUGAACGCUGGCGGCGUGCUUAACACAUGCAAGUCGAACGAGAACGGAAUAUAGCUUGCUAUAUUUGUCAGCUAAGUGGCGCACGGGUGAGUUAUGUAUAGAUAACCUGCCCUUAAGAAAGGAAUAACAGUUGGAAACGACUGCUAAUGCCCUAUAUGCCUUUAAUACAUAAGUAUGCAAGGGAAACGCUUUAGUGCUUAAGGAUGGGUCUGUAUGGUAUCAGCUUGUUGGUGAGGUAAUGGCUCACCAAGGCUAUGACGCCUAACUGGUUUGGGAGGAUGAUCAGUCACACUGGAACUGAGACACGGUCCAGACUCCUACGGGAGGCAGCAGUGGGGAAUAUUGCACAAUGGACGAAAGUCUGAUGCAGCAACGCCACGUGGAGGAUGACACAUUUCGGUGCGUAAACUCCUUUUAUAUAGGAAGAUAAUGACGGUACUAUAUGAAUAAGCACCGGCUAACUCCGUGCCAGCCGCCGCCGUAAUAC
rnacentral:rRNA from 1 species